UACGGGGGGGGGCAAGCGUUGUUCGGAAUUACUGGGCGUAAAGGGCUCGUAGGCGGCCAACUAAGUCAGACGUGAAAUCCCUCGGCUUAGCCGGGGAACUGCGUCUGAUACUGGAUGGCUUGAGUGUGGGAGAGGGAUGCGGAAUUCCAGGUGUAGCGGUGAAAUGCGUAGAUAUCUGGAGGAACACCGGUGGCGAAGGCGGCAUCCUGGACCACGACUGACGCUGAGGAGCGAAAGCCAGGGGAGCAAACGGG
rnacentral:rRNA from 1 species